AGGGUAAUAGUUAAUAAUAACAUUUAAUUUGCAAUUAGAAAUUACUGACUAAGUCAUUUUACCUUA
rnacentral:tRNA from 1 species